rnacentral:rRNA from 1 species
AUUGAACGCUGGCGGCAUGCCUUACACAUGCAAGUCGAACGGUAACAGGUUAAGCUGACGAGUGGCGAACGGGUGAGUAAUGUAUCGGAACGUGCCCAGUUGUGGGGGAUAACUGCCCGAAAGAGCAGCUAAUACAGCAUCCGACCUGAGGGUGAAAGCGGGGGAUCGAAAGACCCCGCGCAAUUGGAGCGGCCGAUACCAGAUUAGGUAGUUGGUGGGGUAAAGGCUCAACAAGUCGACGAUCUGUAGCUGGUCUGAGAGGACGACCAGCCAGACUGGGACUGAGACACGGCCCAGACUCCUACGGGAGGCAGCAGUGGGGAAUUUUGGACAAUGGGCGCAAGCCUGAUCCAGCCAUGCCGCGUGCGGGAAGAAGGCCUUCGGGUUGUAAACCGCUUUUGUCAGGGAAGAAACGCUCUGGGUUAAUACCCUGGGGUAAUGACGGUACCUGAAGAAUAAGCACCGGCUAACUACGUGCCAGCAGCCGCAGUAA